rnacentral:lncRNA from 1 species
AUCCAAAAUGCGAAAAUUACAUAACAGUUGAAACAUUGUCGCAUACAAAUCAAAUUUCAUAAUGUUUAACUUAGUUUACACUUAAUUAAAAUACAUACAAAGACAAAAAUCCAUAAAACACCAAGGCUGUCCGGUAAGAAGACAUUUAUAAGUUGUACAAUGCUCGUUAAUUUUGCAGGGGUGAAAACCUGCAUGUCAAAUAAGAAUAAAUGAAUGUCACAAGAAGGGAAUGCAAUGUUUUAUACAUGAUUAAGAAGAAGAAAAUUAAAUGUUUGUGAAAAAUUACUUACUUUCGCCAGUUACGACCAUAGUUAGGAAAAGCAAGUGCAAGAUAAUCAAAGCAUAAAUGAUUUUUAGAAUUUCAGCCAUAUUUUGUCUCCUUAACUUGCAUGUUGCUGACAAAUCGUUAUUUGAUCACUUUAUAAGUAAAACGCUGC